rnacentral:rRNA from 1 species
AUUGAACGCUGGCGGCAUGCCUUACACAUGCAAGUCGAACGGUAACGCGGGGGCAACCCUGGCGACGAGUGGCGAACCGGUGAGUAAUACAUCGGAACAUAUCCAGUAGCGGGGGAUAACCUAUCGAAAGAUUGGCUAAUACCGCAUACGAUCUACGGAUGAAAGCGGGGGACCGCAAGGCCUCGCACUAUUGGAGUGGCCGAUGUCAGAUUAGCUAGGUGGUGGGGUAAAAGCCUACCAAGGCGACGAUCUGUAGCUGGUCUGAGAGGACGAUCAGCCACACUGGAACUGAGACACGGUCCAGACUCCUACGGGAGGCAGCAGUGGGGAAUUUUGGACAAUGGGCGCAAGCCUGAUCCAGCCAUGCCGCGUGAGUGAAGAAGGCCUUCGGGUUGUAAAGCUCUUUCGGUGAAGACGAAACGGUUAGUGUUAAUAACACUGACUAAUGACGGUACUCACAGAAGAAGCACCGGCUAACUACGUGCCAGCCGCCGCCGUAACAC